rnacentral:rRNA from 1 species
CCAUAUCAAUAAGCGGAGGAAAAGAAACCAACAGGGAUUGCCCUAGUAACGGCGAGUGAAGCGGCAACAGCUCAAAUUUGAAAUCUGGCUUCGGCCCGAGUUGUAAUUUGUAGAGGAUGCUUUUGGCGCGGUGCCUUCUGAGUUCCCUGGAACGGGACGCCAUAGAGGGUGAGAGCCCCGUAUAGUUGGACACCAAGCCUUUGUAAAGCUCCUUCGACGAGUCGAGUAGUUUGGGAAUGCUGCUCAAAAUGGGAGGUAAAUUUCUUCUAAAGCUAAAUACCGGCCAGAGACCGAUAGCGCACAAGUAGAGUGAUCGAAAGAUGAAAAGCACUUUGAAAAGAGGGUUAAAUAGCACGUGAAAUUGUUGAAAGGGAAGCGCUUAUGACCAGACUUGUUCUAGGUUGAUCAUCCAGUGUUCUCACUGGUGCACUCUGCCUAGAUCAGGCCAGCGUCGGUUUUCGUAGGGGGAUAAAGGCUUCGGGAAUGUGGCUCCUCCGGGAGUGUUAUAGCCCGUUGCAUAAUACCCUUAUGGGGACCGAGGUACGCGCUCUGCAAGGACGCUGGCGUAAUGGUCAUCAGCGACCCGUCUUGAAACACGGACCAAGGAGUCGAGGUUUUGCGCGAGUGUUUGGGUGUAAAACCCGCACGCGUAAUGAAAGUGAACGUAGGUGAGAGCUUCGGCGCAUCAUCGACCGAUCCUGAUGUAUUCGGAUGGAUUUGAGUAAGAGCGUAUAGCCUCGGACCCGAAAGAUGGUGAACUAUGCCUGUAUAGGGUGAAGCCAGAGGAAACUCUGGUGGAGGCUCGCAGCGGUUCUGACGUGCAAAUCGAUCGUCAAAUAUGGGCAUGGGGGCGAAAGACUAAUCGACCAUCUAGUAGCUGGUUACCCGCCGAAG